rnacentral:rRNA from 1 species
UACGGAGGGAGCUAGCGUUGUUCGGAAAUACUGGGCGUAAAGGGCGCGUAGGCGGCCUGCUAAGUCGGACGUGAAAUCCCUCGGCUCAACCGAGGAACUGCGUCCGAUACUGGUGGGCUUGAAUCCGGGGAGAGGGAUGUGGAAUUCCAGGUGUAGCGGUGAAAUGCGUAGAUAUCUGGAGGAACACCGGUGGCGAAGGCGGCAUCCUGGACCGGUAUUGACGCUGAGGCGCGAAAGCUAGGGUAGCAAACGGG